GGAAGGAUCAUUAUUGAAAUAAACCUGAUGGGUUGUUGCUGGUUCUCUAGGGAGCAUGUGCACGCCUUGUCAUCUUUAUAUCUCCACCUGUGCACCUUUUGUAGACCUUUCCAGGUCUAUGUCGCCUCAUUUACCCCAAUGUAUGUUAAUAGAAUGUUGUGACUAUAUAAUAUAUACAACUUUCAGCAACGGAUCUCUUGGCUCUCGCAUCGAUGAAGAACGCAGCGAAAUGCGAUAAGUAAUGUGAAUUGCAGAAUUCAGUGAAUCAUCGAAUCUUUGAACGCACCUUGCGCUCCUUGGUAUUCCGAGGAGCAUGCCUGUUUGAGUGUCAUUAAUAUAUAUAUCAACCAUCAUCUCUUUUGUUGAAUGGUUUGGAUGUGGGGGUUUGCUGGCCUCUUGAAAGGGUUCAGCUCUCCUGAAAUGCAUUAGCAGAACAACCUUGUUCAUUGGUGUGAUAACUAUCUACGCUAUUGAAUGUGAGGUGCAGUUCAGCUUUCUAACAGUCCCUGGGACAACUCAUCAUUAAUGUGACCUCAAAUCAGGUAGGACUACCCGCUGAACUUAAGCAUAUCAAUAAGCGGAGGAAAAGAAACUAACAAGGAUUCCCCUAGUAACUGCGAGUGAAGCGGGAAAAGCUCAAAUUUAAAAUCUGGCGGUCUUUUGGCUGUCCGAGUUGUAAUCUAGAGAAGUGUUAUCCGCGCUGGACCGUGUACAAGUCUCCUGGAAUGGAGCAUCAUAGAGGGUGAGAAUCCCGUCUUUGACAUGGACUGCCAGGGCUUUGUGAUGCGCUCUCAAAGAGUCGAGUUGUUUGGGAAUGCAGCUCAAAAUGGGUGGUAAAUUCCAUCUAAAGCUAAAUAUUGGCGAGAGACCGAUAGCGAACAAGUACCGUGAGGGAA
rnacentral:rRNA from 1 species